UACGGAGGGGGCUAGCGUUGUUCGGAAUUACUGGGCGUAAAGCGUACGUAGGCGGUUAUUCAAGUCAGAGGUGAAAGCCCGGAGCUCAACUCCGGAAUUGCCUUUGAAACUAGAUAGCUUGAACGUCGGAGAGGUGAGUGGAAUUCCGAGUGUAGAGGUGAAAUUCGUAGAUAUUCGGAAGAACACCAGUGGCGAAGGCGGCUCACUGGACGACUGUUGACGCUGAGGAGCGAAAGCAUGGGGAGCGAACAGG
rnacentral:rRNA from 1 species